AAAUCCCUGCGCUGCAGGUGAUGCCGGGGGAAAGUUUCAACCCAAUUAUCCAAACGGGGGCUUGACUGUGAGGGUGGUGUGCAUGCCCCUCCGAGUAGGGGAAGCCUAAAGCCCUCCUAUAUAGCACCCACCUGGUACACCAGGUUCGAAACACCGUCGGCACACGGCAGAGGUGGGGAGAAA
rnacentral:other from 2 species